rnacentral:rRNA from 2 species
GACGAACGCUGGCGGCGUGCCUAAUACAUGCAAGUCGAACGAACUCUGGUAUUGAUUGGUGCUUGCAUCAUGAUUUACAUUUGAGUGAGUGGCGAACUGGUGAGUAACACGUGGGAAACCUGCCCAGAAGCGGGGGAUAACACCUGGAAACAGAUGCUAAUACCGCAUAACAACUUGGACCGCAUGGUCCGAGUUUGAAAGAUGGCUUCGGCUAUCACUUUUGGAUGGUCCCGCGGCGUAUUAGCUAGAUGGUGGGGUAACGGCUCACCAUGGCAAUGAUACGUAGCCGACCUGAGAGGGUAAUCGGCCACAUUGGGACUGAGACACGGCCCAAACUCCUACGGGAGGCAGCAGUAGGGAAUCUUCCACAAUGGACGAAAGUCUGAUGGAGCAACGCCGCGUGAGUGAAGAAGGGUUUCGGCUCGUAAAACUCUGUUGUUAAAGAAGAACAUAUCUGAGAGUAACUGUUCAGGUAUUGACGGUAUUUAACCAGAAAGCCACGGCUAACUACGUGCCAGCAGCCGCGGUAAUACGUAGGUGGCAAGCGUUGUCCGGAUUUAUUGGGCGUAAAGCGAGCGCAGGCGGUUUUUUAAGUCUGAUGUGAAAGCCUUCGGCUCAACCGAAGAAGUGCAUCGGAAACUGGGAAACUUGAGUGCAGAAGAGGACAGUGGAACUCCAUGUGUAGCGGUGAAAUGCGUAGAUAUAUGGAAGAACACCAGUGGCGAAGGCGGCUGUCUGGUCUGUAACUGACGCUGAGGCUCGAAAGUAUGGGUAGCAAACAGGAUUAGAUACCCUGGUAGUCCAUACCGUAAACGAUGAAUGCUAAGUGUUGGAGGGUUUCCGCCCUUCAGUGCUGCAGCUAACGCAUUAAGCAUUCCGCCUGGGGAGUACGGCCGCAAGGCUGAAACUCAAAGGAAUUGACGGGGGCCCGCACAAGCGGUGGAGCAUGUGGUUUAAUUCGAAGCUACGCGAAGAACCUUACCAGGUCUUGACAUACUAUGCAAAUCUAAGAGAUUAGACGUUCCCUUCGGGGACAUGGAUACAGGUGGUGCAUGGUUGUCGUCAGCUCGUGUCGUGAGAUGUUGGGUUAAGUCCCGCAACGAGCGCAACCCUUAUUAUCAGUUGCCAGCAUUAAGUUGGGCACUCUGGUGAGACUGCCGGUGACAAACCGGAGGAAGGUGGGGAUGACGUCAAAUCAUCAUGCCCCUUAUGACCUGGGCUACACACGUGCUACAAUGGAUGGUACAACGAGUUGCGAACUCGCGAGAGUAAGCUAAUCUCUUAAAGCCAUUCUCAGUUCGGAUUGUAGGCUGCAACUCGCCUACAUGAAGUCGGAAUCGCUAGUAAUCGCGGAUCAGCAUGCCGCGGUGAAUACGUUCCCGGGCCUUGUACACACCGCCCGUCACACCAUGAGAGUUUGUAACACCCAAAGUCGGUGGGGUAACCUUUUAGGAACCAGCCGCCUGAGGUGGGACAGAUGAUUAGGGUGAAG